UUUAUUGGCUUGUAUUUUUUCAUAUUAGAUUUAUUAAAUUCAUUAAAAAAUAAUUAUAUGGGGGCGGGGCCCGACCGCCAUGCUGACCGGUCGCGGGCUGGAGAGGCUCCUGACAAAUUUGGUCUCCUAUGGUACAAAACCCAAGCAACACGGCAAUAACAGCGACCGCAAGUUGUUACAGAUAUCCGGGCAGCUGCCAGAGCCACCGCAGUCCCCAAGAUCGGGAGUUUCGGAGCCCCUGUGGGCGAUAUGAGGCUUCGGGGUCUGUGGCCUAUGUGGGUGAAGAGUGGUGCGGAUGGCCGCCGCCCUGUUUGCAAACCUGGCUGCCGCGCAGCGGCCUUGUGAUGCACCUUGCGGGUCCCCGCUUCCCCCCCAUGAAUCGGGGGGUUAUCCCGGUCCCCGCCGGAGGAAAAGACCGCCUUACACUGGCCCAUCACCCAACCUACCUGGCACUGUACAUCAUGAGCCCGGGCACCAAAAUGGCAGCAAUGCGACCAAAACCGCGCAACACAGCCUAGCCUGCCUGCAGGCAGAAACAACAGCCUGCUGAGAAUGCCUCCUACCUACAACCCACAAG